rnacentral:rRNA from 1 species
GGAGGAAAAAGAAACCAACCGGGAUUGCCUUAGUAACGGCGAGUGAAGCGGCAAAAGCUCAAAUUUGAAAUCUGGCGUCUUCGACGUCCGAGUUGUAAUUUGAAGAAGGCGACUUUGUAGCUGGUCCUUGUCUAUGUUCCUUGGAACAGGACGUCAUAGAGGGUGAGAAUCCCGUGUGGCGAGGAUCCCAGUUAUUUGUAAAGUGCUUUCGACGAGUCGAGUUGUUUGGGAAUGCAGCUCUAAGUGGGUGGUAAAUUCCAUCUAAAGCUAAAUAUUGGCGAGAGACCGAUAGCGAACAAGUACAGUGAUGGAAAGAUGAAAAGAACUUUGAAAAGAGAGUGAAAAAGUACGUGAAAUUGUUGAAAGGGAAGGGCAUUUGAUCAGACAUGGCGUUUGCUUCGGCUUUCGCUGGGCCAGCAUCAGUUUUAGCGGUUGGAUAAAUCCUCGGGAAUGUGGCU